UACGUAGGGGGCGAGCGUUGUCCGGAAUCAUUGGGCGUAAAGCGCGUGUAGGCGGCCCGGUAAGUCCGCUGUGAAAGUCCAGGGCUCAACCCUGGGAUGCCGGUGGAUACUGUCGGGCUCGAGUCCGGAAGAGGCGAGUGGAAUUCCUGGUGUAGCGGUGAAAUGCGCAGAUAUCAGGAGGAACACCAAUGGCGAAGGCAGCUCGCUGGGACGUAACUGACGCUGAGACGCGAAAGCGUGGGGAGCAAACAGG
rnacentral:rRNA from 1 species